GGCAGCGGUCUCAGAGGAAAUGGUGCUAGUAAUUAGUUCGCCUGGUUCAUAUUCGAUUCACAAGAGCUUUUGUUGCGCCGAGCUUCGGUGUCGCUCCUGCCUGCGUCUCUUAGGAUUGAGCUAUCCGUGGUGCUGAAACCGCCGACUCUUCCCUGGGAACUUAACUUUUGGGCUCCCUCCGUCUGAAUGGCGAAGGAGAUGGAAACUGCUCAGAAUGAAACGUGGAGGAUCGAAAAUUGCAACCAACUACACGACAUGCCAUGAAUGUACCGCUGUUUUUGGGCAGGUGUGCAUUAAAGUUGAAGGUAGACACAAAAUGCUGGAGUAACUCAGCGGGACAGGCAGCAUCUCUGGAGAGAAGGAAUGGGUGACGUUACGGGUCGAGACCCUUCUGCAUUAAAAUUGUUAAGAAGGGUGUAGUUUGAAGUUAAAAUAGUGACAACAAGUUUUUAGUACAGUUCUUACUUUUGUUUUUCAUUUUAUGGUAUAUCUCACGCUAAUACACUGGUGAGUCAGAAUCUACAGACCACUGAAUGGAAUCUCCUCAGAAUAGUUAACAACACUAAAUGAUGAGAUUCUGAGAAAACUGUAUCAUGAGCAAGGUAUUAUCUUCUCCUCACUUGUACUUUUACUUGUAUCAGUACUGCAAGUACAUUAAGGAACUUGGUGUAUAUUAAUCUGUGAACAUCUAGGGAAUAUGAUAGAAAUUAUUAAAAGAAAGAAUUUUAAAAGGA